rnacentral:rRNA from 1 species
UACGUAGGGGGCAAGCGUUGUCCGGAUUUACUGGGCGUAAAGAGCGUGUAGGCGGCCAGGUAGGUCCGCUGUGAAAGUCCGAGGCUCAACCUCGGAAUGUCGGCGGAAACCCUCUGGCUAGAGUCCGGAAGAGGAGAGUGGAAUUCCCGGUGUAGCGGUGAAAUGCGCAGAUAUCGGGAAGAACACCCGUGGCGAAGGCGGCUCUCUGGAACGGUACUGACGCUGAGACGCGAAAGCGUGGGGAGCGAACAGG